GUGCUCGCUUUGGCAGCACAUAUACUAAUAUUAGAA
rnacentral:snRNA from 1 species